GACGAACGCUGGCGGCGUGCUUAACACAUGCAAGUCGAACGGAAAGGCCUCUUUCGGGGGGUACUCGAGUGGCGAACGGGUGAGUAACACGUGAGUAACCUGCCCUUGACUUUGGGAUAACUUCAGGAAACUGGGGCUAAUACCGGAUAGGAGCUCUUGCUGCAUGGUGGGGGUUGGAAAGUUUCGGCGGUUGGGGAUGGACUCGCGGCUUAUCAGCUUGUUGGUGGGGUAGUGGCUUACCAAGGCAUUGACGGGUAGCCGGCCUGAGAGGGUGACCGGCCACAUUGGGACUGAGAGACGGCCCAGACGCCUACGGGAGGCAGCAGUGGGGAAGAUUGCACAAUGGGUGGAAGCCUGAUGCAGCAACGCCGGGUGCGGGAUGACGGCCUUCGGGUUGGAAACCGCUUUCGCUCAUGACGAAGCUUUGUGUGACGGUAGUGGGUAAAGAAGCACCGGCUAACUACGUG
rnacentral:rRNA from 1 species